UGGGGAAUAUUGCACAAUGGGCGCAAGCCUGAUGCAGCCAUGCCGCGUGUGUGAAGAAGGCCUUCGGGUUGUAAAGCACUUUCAGCGGGGAGGAAGGCGAUAAGGUUAAUAACCUUGUCGAUUGACGUUACCCGCAGAAGAAGCACCGGCUAACUCCGUGCCAGCAGCCGCGGUAAUACGGAGGGUGCAAGCGUUAAUCGGAAUUACUGGGCGUAAAGCGCACGCAGGCGGUCUGUCAAGUCGGAUGUGAAAUCCCCGGGCUCAACCUGGGAACUGCAUUCGAAACUGGCAGGCUAGAGUCUUGUAGAGGGGGGUAGAAUUCCAGGUGUAGCGGUGAAAUACGUAGAGAUCUGGAGGAAUACCGGUGGCGAAGGCGGCCCCCUGGACAAAGACUGACGCUCAGGUGCGAAAGCGUGGGGAGCAAACAGG
rnacentral:rRNA from 1 species